UACGUAGGGUGCAAGCGUUGUCCGGAAUUAUUGGGCGUAAAGAGCUCGUAGGCGGUUCGUUGUGUCCGUCGUGAAAGCCCCGGGCUUAACCUGGGAACUGCGAUGGAAACUAGCGAGCUGGAGUGUGGCAGAGGGGGGUGGAACUCCGCGUGUAGCAGUGAAAUGCGUAGAGAUGCGGAGGAACACCGAUGACGAAGGCAGCCCCCUGGGCUAACACUGACGCUCAGGCACGAAAGCGUGGGGAGCAAACAGG
rnacentral:rRNA from 1 species